GGCCUCAUAGCUCAGCUGGUAGAGCGUGCGCUUUGACAAAGAAUAGGCGGCGUUCAUGCAUGGGUUCAAAUCCCACCGAGGCUA
rnacentral:tRNA from 1 species